rnacentral:misc_RNA from 1 species
UUUAAACGUCCUUAGUGUACUUACUAUCACUUCUAUUCUUAUCUGGUAUAUGAUUUUCAGAUGUCCUCUUGUGUAUGGUUUAGAAAUUAAUUUCCUUGAUAUACUUCUAACAUUUUAAGGUUUAAUUUUUCAAGACACAUGUAUAGUAAUUGAGUAUCAGUGCUAUUGAGGCAUUAUAAAUACCUUCCAUAUGCUGCAAUGUCUGGUGUGAGUGAUGCUGAGACAAUGAAAGAAUACUUGGUUUAUUGUCUAAAAGGAUCUUACCCCUUUCAUAAAAAUUAAAAAAAAAAUGGUG